AGAGUUUGAUCCUGGCUCAGGAUGAACGCUGGCGGCGUGCCUAACACAUGCAAGUCGAGCGGAGAUACAUGUCUAAGAGAUUUCGGUCGAAUUAAUUGUAUCUUAGCGGCGGAUGGGUGAGGAACGCGUGGAGAACCUGCCCUUCACAGGGGGAUAACAGCUGGAAACGGCUGUUAAUACCGCAUAUGCUCACAGGAUCGCAUGAUCCAGGGAGGAAAGCCGAGACGGUGAAGGAUGGCUCCGCGUCGGAUUAGCCAGUUGGCGGGGUAACGGCCCACCAAAGCGAUGAUCCGUAGCCGGCCUGAGAGGGCGACCGGCCACAUUGGGACUGAGACACGGCCCAAACUCCUACGGGAGGCAGCAGUGGGGAAUAUUGCACAAUGGGCGAAAGCCUGAUGCAGCAACGCCGCGUGAGCGAUGAAGGCCUUCGGGUCGUAAAGCUCUGUCCUCAAGGAAGAUAAUGACGGUACUUGAGGAGGAAGCCCCGGCUAACUACGUGCCAGCAGCCGCGGUAAUACGUAGGGGGCUAGCGUUAUCCGGAAUCAUUGGGCGUAAAGGGUUCGUAGGCGGUAAUACAUGUCAGAUGUGAAAUCUUGUGGCUUAACCACAUCAAGCAUCUGAAACUGUAUAACUUGAGUGAAGGAGAGGUAAGUGGAAUUCCUAGUGUAGCGGUGAAAUGCGUAGAUAUUAGGAAGAAUACCAGUAGCGAAGGCGACUUACUGGCCUUUAACUGACGCUGAGGAACGAAAGCGUGGGUAGCAAACAGGAUUAGAUACCCUGGUAGUCCACGCCGUAAACGAUGA
rnacentral:rRNA from 1 species